UACAGAGGUCUCGAGCGUUAGGCGGAAUCACUGGGCUUAAAGCGUGUGUAGGCGGAUCGGUAAGUACCUUGUGAAAUCCCACAGCUUAACUGUGGAACUGCUUGGUAUACUGCCAGUCUUGAGCCAGCUAGGGGCUACCGGAACAAAUGGUGGAGCGGUGAAAUGCGUAGAUAUCAGGAGGAACACCGGUGGUGUAGACGGCUUACUGGACCAUAACUGACGCUGAGACACGAAAGCGUGGGUAGCAAACAGG
rnacentral:rRNA from 1 species